CAGUCGAGCGGACCUUUUAAAAGCUUGCGUUUUGAAAGGUCAGCGGCGGACGGGUGAGUAACACGUGGGCAACCUGCCUGUAAGACUGGGAUAACUUCGGGAAACCGGAGCUAAUACCGGAUAAUAUAAGGAACCUCCUGGUUCUUUAUUGAAAGAUGGUUUCGGCUAUCACUUACAGAUGGGCCCGCGGCGCAUUAGCUAGUUGGUGAGGUAAUGGCUCACCAAGGCGACGAUGCGUAGCCGACCUGAGAGGGUGAUCGGCCACACUGGGACUGAGACACGGCCCAGACUCCUACGGGAGGCAGCAGUAGGGAAUCUUCCACAAUGGACGAAAGUCUGAUGGAGCAACGCCGCGUGAGCGAUGAAGGCCUUCGGGUCGUAAAGCUCUGUUGUUAGGGAAGAACAAGUGCGAGAGUAACUGCUCGCACCUUGACGGUACCUAACCAGAAAGCCACGGCUAACUACGUGCCAGCAGCCGCGGUAAUACGUAGGUGGCAAGCGUUGUCCGGAAUUAUUGGGCGUAAAGCGCGCGCAGGUGGUCCUUUAAGUCUGAUGUGAAAGCCCACGGCUCAACCGUGGAGGGUCAUUGGAAA
rnacentral:rRNA from 1 species